CCAUAUCAGAGCACGGUGUACAUCUCUUGCAGUAUUCAGAAUAUUUCUCUACGGGCAGCAACAUUUUUCUCUCCUUAUCUGGAUAUUAGGAAGAAUAUCACAGGACCGGCUUACAGCGCCAGUCACAUCUGACCAUAUCAGAGCACAGUGUACUCCUCUUGCCGUAUUCAGAGGAUUUGCCUAUGGGCAGCAACAUUAUUCUCUCGUUCUCUGGAUAUUAGGAACAAUAUCACAGGACCGGCGGACAGCCCCAGUCAUAUCUGAAAAUAUCACAGCACGGUGUACUCCUCUUGCCGUAUUCAGAGGAUAUGCCUAUGGGCAGAAACAUUCCCCUCUCCUUCUCUGGAUAUUAGAAACAUUAUCACAGGACCGGCAAAGAGCCGCAGUCAUAUCGUGAGUAAUGUCAUCUGUAAUCCCCUAGUUAUAAAAAACAACAUCAAGGGGGUCUUGUGCACUUUAUGAGAUACUUAGAGUAAUGUUAGGAUUUGGGUAAUUUACAUGAGGGAGAAUAUUGAGUUGGUGUAUACACUCCAAAACACAGUAGAAAAGGGCAUUGUAUAUUUUUUCUGACAGAUUAUAUUGAGAGCAAUUUUGCUUUUAACAUUGGGGUACCUAGAUAAUAUUUAGAUUUCUUUCGAUUAGCGUAAAUUUAGAAUUUCAGU